rnacentral:rRNA from 1 species
AGAGUUUGAUCCUGGCUCAGGACGAACGCUGGCGGCGCGCCUAACACAUGCAAGUCGAACGGAGCUUAGAGAGCUUGCUUUUUAAGCUUAGUGGCGAACGGGUGAGUAACGCGUGAGUAACCUGCCCUGGAGUGGGGGACAACAGUUGGAAACGACUGCUAAUACCGCAUAAGCCCACGGUGCCGCAUGGCACUGAGGGAAAAGGAUUUAUUCGCUUUAGGAUGGACUCGCGUCCAAUUAGCUAGUUGGUGAGGUAACGGCCCACCAAGGCGACGAUUGGUAGCCGGACUGAGAGGUUGAACGGCCACAUUGGGACUGAGACACGGCCCAGACUCCUACGGGAGGCAGCAGUGGGGAAUAUUGCACAAUGGGGGAAACCCUGAUGCAGCGACGCCGCGUGGAGGAAGAAGGUCUUCGGAUUGUAAACUCCUGUUGUUGAGGAAGAUAAUGACGGUACUCAACAAGGAAGUGACGGCUAACUACGUGCCAGCAGCCGCGGUAAAACGUAGGUCACAAGCGUUGUCCGGAAUUACUGGGUGUAAAGGGAGCGCAGGCGGGAAGACAAGUUGGAAGUGAAAUCCAUGGGCUCAACCCAUGAACUGCUUUCAAAACUGUUUUUCUUGAGUAGUGCAGAGGUAGGCGGAAUUCCCGGUGUAGCGGUGGAAUGCGUAGAUAUCGGGAGGAACACCAGUGGCGAAGGCGGCCUACUGGGCACCAACUGACGCUGAGGCUCGAAAGUGUGGGUAGCAAACAGGAUUAGAUACCCUGGUAGUCCACACCGUAAACGAUGAUUACUAGGUGUUGGAGGAUUGACCCCUUCAGUGCCGCAGUUAACACAAUAAGUAAUCCACCUGGGGAGUACGACCGCAAGGUUG